AUUUAUAUAGUUUAUAAUAAAACAUUACAUUUUCAUUGUAAAAAUAAAAUACCAAUUUUUAUAAAUA
rnacentral:tRNA from 1 species